rnacentral:rRNA from 1 species
GGCGAACGCUGGCGGCGUGCCUAACACAUGCAAGUCGAGCGGAGGUAUCUGAAGAGUAAUCUGAGGAUACUUUAGCGGCGGACGGGCGAGUAACGCGUGAGCAACCUGCCUAUCACAGGGGGAUAAGACGGCGAAAGCCGUUCUAAUACCGCAUGAGACCACACUACCGGAUGGUAGAGGGGUCAAAGGCGCAAUCCGGUGAGAGAUGGGCUCGCGUCCGAUUAGGUAGUUGGUGAGGUAACGGCCCACCAAGCCAAUGAUCGGUAGCCGGCCUGAGAGGGUGAACGGCCACAUUGGAACUGAGAGACGGUCCAAACUCCUACGGGAGGCAGCAGUGGGGAAUAUUGGGCAAUGGGGGAAACCCUGACCCAGCAACGCCGCGUGAGGGAAGAAGGUUUUCGGAUUGUAAACCUCUGUUCUUGGUGAAGAGAAGAAGACGGUAGCCAAGGAGGAAGCCCCGGCUAACUACGUGCCAGCCGCCGCGGUAACAC